AUACGGAGGGUGCAAGCGUUAAUUGGAAUUACUGGGCGUAAAGCGCGCGUAGGCGGAUAUUUAAGUCUCAUGUGAAAGCCCUGGGCUCAACCUGGGAACUGCAUGGGAUACUGGGUAUCUAGAAUACAGUAGAGGGUAGUGGAAUUUCAGGUGUAGCGGUGAAAUGCGUAGAGAUCUGAAGGAACAUCAGUGGCGAAGGCGACUACCUGGACUGAUAUUGACGCUGAGGUGCGAAAGCGUGGGGAGCAAACGGGAUUAGAAACCCCAGUAGUCC
rnacentral:rRNA from 1 species